UACAGAGGUGCCGAGCGUUAGGCGGAAUCACUGGGCUUAAAGCGUGUGUAGGCGGACUUCUAAGUACCUUGUGAAAUCCCACGGCUCACCCGUGGAACUGCUGGGUAUACUGGUCGUCUUGAGCCACCUAGGGGCGAGCGGAACAGACGGUGGAGCGGUGAAAUGCGUAGAUAUCGUCUGGAACGCCGAAGGUGAAAACAGCUCGCUGGGGCUGCGCUGACGCUGAGACACGAAAGCCAGGGGAGCGAACGGG
rnacentral:rRNA from 1 species